rnacentral:rRNA from 1 species
GACGAACGCUGGCGGCGUGCUUAACACAUGCAAGUCGAACGGAAAGGCCCUGCUUUUGUGGGGUGCUCGAGUGGCGAACGGGUGAGUAACACGUGAGUAACCUGCCCUUGACUUUGGGAUAACUUCAGGAAACUGGGGCUAAUACCGGAUAGGAGCUCCUGCUGCAUGGUGGGGGUUGGAAAGUUUCGGCGGUUGGGGAUGGACUCGCGGCUUAUCAGCUUGUUGGUGGGGUAGUGGCUUACCAAGGCUUUGACGGGUAGCCGGCCUGAGAGGGUGACCGGCCACAUUGGGACUGAGAUACGGCCCAGACUCCUACGGGAGGCAGCAGUGGGGAAUAUUGCACAAUGGGCGGAAGCCUGAUGCAGCAACGCCGCGUGCGGGAUGAAGGCCUUCGGGUUGUAAACCGCUUUCGCCUGUGACGAAGCGUGAGUGACAGUAAUGGGUAAAGAAGCACCGGCUAACUACGUG